GAUGAACGCUGGCGGCGUGCUUAACACAUGCAAGUCGAGCGAAGCGCUAAUGCGGAUUUCUUCGGAUUGAAGCUUUAGUGACUGAGCGGCGGACGGGUGAGUAACGCGUGGGUAACCUGCCUCAUACAGGGGGAUAACAGUUGGAAACGGCUGCUAAUACCGCAUAAGCGCACAGUACCGCAUGGUACGGUGUGAAAAACUCCGGUGGUAUGAGAUGGACCCGCGUCUGAUUAGGUAGUUGGUGGGGUAACGGCCUACCAAGCCGACGAUCAGUAGCCGACCUGAGAGGGUGACCGGCCACAUUGGGACUGAGACACGGCCCAAACUCCUACGGGAGGCAGCAGUGGGGAAUAUUGCACAAUGGGGGAAACCCUGAUGCAGCGACGCCGCGUGAGCGAAGAAGUAUUUCGG
rnacentral:rRNA from 1 species